UACGAGGGGGGCGAGCGUUGUUCGGAAUUAUUGGGCGUAAAGGGUGCGUAGGCGGUUUGGUAAGUCUUGUGUGAAAUCUACAGGCUCAACUUGUAGUCUGCACGAGAAACUGCCGGGCUUGAGUGUGGGAGAGGUGAGUGGAAUUCCUGGUGUAGCGGUGAAAUGCGUAGAUAUCAGGAGGAACACCUGUGGCGAAAGCGGCUCACUGGACCAUAACUGACGCUGAUGCACGAAAGCUAGGGGAGUAAACAGG
rnacentral:rRNA from 1 species